UACGUAGGGAGCAAGCGUUGUCCGGAAUCAUUGGGCGUAAAGCGCGCGUAGGUGGCCACAUAAGUCCGUUGUGAAAGUCAAAGGCUCAACCUUUGAAAGCCGAUGGAUACUGUGUGGCUAGAGUACGGAAGAGGCGAGUGGAAUUCCUGGUGUAGCGGUGGAAUGCGCAGAUAUCAGGAGGAACACCAAUAGCGAAGGCGGCUCACUGGACCACAACUGACGCUGAGGCGCGAAAGCUAGGGGAGCAAACAGG
rnacentral:rRNA from 1 species